GACGAACGCUGGCGGCGUGCCUAAUACAUGCAAGUAGAACGCACAGUUUAUACCGUAGCUUGCUACACCAUAAACUGUGAGUUGCGAACGGGUGAGUAACGCGUAGGUAACCUGCCUGGUAGCGGGGGAUAACUAUUGGAAACGAUAGCUAAUACCGCAUAAUAUUGAUUAUUGCAUGAUAAUUGAUUGAAAGAUGCUAUUGCAUCACUACCAGAUGGACCUGCGUUGUAUUAGCUAGUAGGUGAGGUAACGGCUCACCUAGGCGACGAUACAUAGCCGACCUGAGAGGGUGAUCGGCCACACUGGGACUGAGACACGGCCCAGACUCCUACGGGAGGCAGCAGUAGGGAAUCUUCGGCAAUGGACGAAAGUCUGACCGAGCAACGCCGCGUGAGUGAAGAAGGUUUUCGGAUCGUAAAGCUCUGUUGUAAGAGAAGAACGGGUGUGAGAGUGGAAAGUUCGCACUGUGACGGUAUCUUACCAGAAAGGGACGGCUAACUACGUG
rnacentral:rRNA from 1 species